UACGAUUGAAUGACUGUAGUGCUCUGCUCACGGGAUGCAGCCGUUAAAUACCAUUGAUGGAUUUCCUGAGCUAACUGGAAUCACGACUAAACCAGAUGAUAGAACGGUCGGCUCUCCGGGAGGAAGAGAAAACGGAAGGUCACCGCAGCUGAGACUGGAGAAGAACAACAGUGGAGGGGAGUGGCUGUUUCGCUCCCAGACGUCAGCAUUCAGGGGGCUCAUACUCCACAGAGGAGAAGACGUAGUACAGGAAAUGAGGUGGACGCAAGAGACGAAUCUCAGUGUUUUAGAAGAGAACGGGAACUCGUUUAUUAGAAACCGGAUUAAAAAAAAAAAAAGAACCAUC